rnacentral:misc_RNA from 1 species
UGUCAAGCACUCUCCGGCUUUGGCUUCGGCUUUGGCUUCGGCUUCCUCAAGCGAACGACGAAAAAGAAAAACCUCCGCGCUACUCCUCCGCCCCGCCCGCUUUUCCUCGUCACUCGUGUUCUACCCAUCGCUCUCUCUAUCGAUCACAGGAGCAUACAGCCCACACGCGUACCAUUCCCUCUCUCCCCUUCUGGCUGUUCUCUUUGUACUUACAGAAGAUACUUGCGUCGGGUGACGCUGUUGUUCUUUCCGGGUGUGCAUGUACGUAUCGAAUUGGGUUUAUCUUCCCUGCCAUUUUGCAUUGCUUACUGCCUUGGCCUUGGCUUUACUCGACCACCACCAACACGUCUUUCGCUCUGCGCCUGCUGCAGUAGCUCAACGGUGGCGCGUUUCCGGGAAAGCAAGGUAGCCGCGAAGCUAAAAAAGGGAGGGGGAGAGAGCAAGCAAGACGGAAGGCGGCAAAAAGUUUGGCACGGAAAAAAAAAUACACACAGGCGCAAGAAAAGGACGCAGGCCCUUCGUCCCGUUGAGCCCAAGGGCAACGGAAGAGAGCGUGUGCGUUUUUCCUCUUUGCUUUGUGCUUGUGUGAGAAAGAGUGCCGUUUCUGUGGCGGUCUUGCUUUUUUUUGUUUGUUUUCGCGUUUUCACGCUCCUCGGUGAUCCCGCGCUUGACCUUUGCGUGCGUGUGUGCGUGCGCGCGCGAACUUUGCCCGUCUGAGAGUAAAGUGUUGUACUUCUUCACGUUCCCCACGCGCGCAGGCCAACACGGCCUCGUGCGCUUCUCCUCUCUACAAAGAAAAAGCUCGGUUUGCGCGUUACGGCUACGCUUGCCUCCUUUCUUUUCGUUACUUGUUUUGAAUUGUACUUUUUUUUCAGUUUUUCUUCCCUCCCGGUAUCUUCGUGGUUUCGCGCUUUUUCCCCCUUUUUGCCUCCAUUUUUUUUUUCAUUUUCCUGUCGCGGUGGGCUUCCUUGUGCGUGUGGGGGCGCUACUGCUGCUUCUAUUGCUGACGCCUCUCCUGUCGCCGCUCGCUCUCGUGACCGUGCACUACGGUGUUGGUGUGAUAUCUCUGCUCCUUUAGGCAAGUAUAGCUUUUUUUGCUCUAGGGGAGGAGAGGAGGAAGGAAAGGGGGGGUAUUUUCUCUCGUUUUUGUUACCUUGUACUCCUCUCGCUUGUUUUUAGUCAUCAACGGGGCACACCUCUCUCCCUUUGCUUCGUUUUUAGAGGCGCUCUCUCUAUAUAUAUUGUGCUUGCGUGUGUGCGCGCUUGUGGGUUUGUGGGUUACGGUCCUCCUCGUUUGUCGCCUUUUUUCUCAGCUCACCUUUGUUUUAGCCUUACAAUAGCCAAGGUGCUGUGACAAAGAAGAAUCGAAAAACCGCAUCUACAGAAAAAAGGAAAGUCACCGAGUCUUUCUACCCUUCCCUCCUUCUGCUUGUCUUUCUGUCUUCGCGACAUAAACACGUACCCGCACAGUCCUCGAGCUCCCCACCCCCGCCUCAGCAUAGCGUUCUAGCCAGCCAGGCCUGCUUUUCAACUCUCCAUCAAACACUCAGCGAAGCACAACCGUCACCCCCUUUCCGCUUGCUGGCGUACGCAGCGUAUCUGUAUGUAUCUAUAAACAAUCACAACUGCAUAUUCGCGUCCCUGUAUAUCCGAAUAUAUGAUUGAGUCACUUCCGUUUUUCUUCGAGCCCUCCGUCCCUCCCUCUUUCCUCUUCCGUGCUCUUCUGCCCUUUCCCCAUUUUUUUCAGCAGCUGGCCACGAAAGUGUUUGCGUGUGCGUGCUUUUCUACUCUUUUUUUUUGUCCAUCUCUUUCCUCGUUUAGUGGUGUGAGCGUGUCUGCUUUGCGCAUCCGCUAAACCCCUUCCCCCUUCUAUUUCUAUUUUAUUCUUCAGCCCCCAUUCUCUUCGCCCCUUUCGCCUUCCACCUUCACCACUACUAUUCACCCCCUUCAUUCUUUCGUUUUUUAUUUUUUGUUUCUUUUCGAUCGUUUGGCGGUUUACCGAGGUUGUUCUCUUUUCUUCUAAACAGGUGAUCUUUCCGCACUCUUUAUAUCUCUUCCCAACGUGUCGUGGCUGCGCCGUUCUUCCGUUUUCUUUUUGUUACGUCUCUUUUUCUUCCUUCUCCCUUAUCACUGCUUCAGACACGCGUUUUAUCCCUCCUGCUCCUUUUCGUAUCAAGCUCCUGUGUACGCACGCGCGCCAUUUUUCACGUAGGCCGCACUGUUUGAACGCACCGUCCUUGUGUGUGCGUGUGUGCGUGCGUGUGUGCUCGUCUGUGCGUGUAUCGGUGACGAAAGCGGAGCAAAGGCGUGCGGGAGAACUGGUCGAUCUAGCCAGUCAGCUUUGAGUGCUUCCUUCUCUCUUUGUGUAGCUGUGCAUGUUCGUAUCUGCCAGUAGGCAGACGGUGCAAGUUCAAGUGACCAAGAGGGCGAGUUGUAGGCAAAACAAGGACGCCCUACCCUUUUGAGCAGGGCUGGUGCAGAAAAAAAAAACUACUUCCUCUUCCCUCCCUCCUCUCCGCUUCUCUCUUGGUUCGGAUUUUCUAAUUGUGCUCCACGCUGCGUAUGGUACUCUCCUUUUGAUUUUUUUCCUGUUGUUCGGCCUCCCCCACCCCCUUCAACGCCUUUCCUUUGUUUUUUUUUUUCUCACUACCCUCCCCCCUAUCCCCCUUUUUCUUGUUCCUCUUUCCGUCGAUUUUCAUCAUCUUCAGUUCUCACUCUCUUUUUUUUUCUGCUUCAAUUAUCUUGAAGAUCUGACAUCUGCCGUGAUUAUUCUCCUACUUUUUUCGUUUCGUUGUUACCUCUCUUUUUCUCGUUGUUUCGCUUGAUCCUCCAGUCGUGUGUGUGUGUGUGUGUGUGUGUGUGCUUUCUCGCAGUCGUGAUCCCUCUCUGCUAUCUCUUUUCCUCUUGAUAAUUUUCUGCUUUUUGUUCUAUCACCGAUCCCCCCCUCUUUGUUUCUUAAUCUCUGCCGUAUUUCUUGCACUGUUGUUUUCUGGUUGUGUUACUCCCUCCCUACCCCUCUCCUCUGUGUCCGCGUGCUUGCUCGCGAUUGUGUUCGUGUAGGCUGUCAUCGCGCUGGCGCAUACGACGGCGCAAGGGACAAAACACGCACACACAAACACAACGAUACGCUGACGAGGCCGUGAAGGCAGGAGGGGAGCUAAACAACGAAAGCUCUGUUAAAAAAAGAAAAGAUAUUAGCGUGCCUCCUUUUUUUUUUGCUCUGCACUUUUAUUCUUUCUGGUUCUCCGUAGACGCGUGCGUGUGUGUGUCGUAUUUUUUUUUGUUGUUUUCCACGCGCGCUUGUUUGCCUUUUGGGAGACUUUGCUUCUUUCGUGUUCUCUUUUCGGUGUAAUCCUUCGAGACCCGCGGCUCUCUAAGGCACUUGGCCCUGCUGCGCUGCACGUGUCGCACACGUUUGCAUCGAUUGCGCAGGCGCGUGCGUUAGUUGAACGACAGGUGAAAGGAUUGCGAAGCGAACGAGGACACGCACACCGUAAGGCCAGAAGGGCGAAAAAGGAGUACAAACACGCUGGCUGUCUUUUCGAGGGGCCGACAAGCCCUUCGCUUUUUUGCUGUUUCGUGUGGAAUUCCCCCCUCUUUUCGCCCCCGGUCCUAAACGCGUUUUUCGUGUUUGUUCCUUGCAGUUUUGCGUAGUGCGCCACCUCUCCAUCGAAAAGACGGAGAAAGCGACCAAAUCUCUUCCUCGCUUGCUAUAUUGUUGCUCUCAGGGACUUUUCUGCAUAUAUCUCGUCUUCCCCAUGCCUGUAUGCGCGACGAUCGCCGUCACCGGCCAGCGCCAGUCAUGCACAUCCGCUGCCGUCCACACGGUGCCACUGCGGCCACAGCUUUCAAGGUCUAAGAUGCUGGUAAUCACUGGGAACGCAUACACCUCGCCACAACUGCGUCCGCUGCGCGAGGCCUCCACGCCCCUGCUCGGUGACACGCAGCAGCGCGCGCGCCAUUGCCAUUGCCCAGCCCAUGAUGCCACCUUAUCUCAUCACCGCAAAGAGGCUCUCAGCAUCAAAGCCGUUGGCGACAUCAGUCACUCGUCGCUGAAUAACACUGCCUACGGGGCGCUCUCCGGAAAGCGCGGCUGCAGGCCGCGGUGCUCCUCCUUUGGGACCCGCCGCGGCUCUUCGCUGAUGCUGCUGGACACAGCUGAGGCGGCCUUGGCCAGACCUGACCGCUGCAGCAGCGCACCAGCGAAGGAGACUGUUGCUGCGACCGUGACGACGCUGCCGUCAUUGUCACCGAUGAAGGUCGAAGCCGUCGAAGACAGUGCAAGUGUCCCCCCAGGUGUGACGCCUACGACCGCCGUCGCUGAGGUAUUGCCGAUGUCGCUGUGCGCGUCGAACACCCCACGCCAUCUCUCCGAUGCGCUGCCGUGCGACCUCGGGCAGAGCAGCGACAGCGACUGCCCCAUCGUCUCACCGCCGAAGGCCCUCUCUCUCUAUGCGACGGAGGAAGAGCUUCCCGUCUGCAUCGACCCGGAAGGUGUGCAGUGCUGCCCGUUAAUCGUUUCUCAAUGCAAGGAAGGCGUCGUGACGGAUGCACAGAUCAACUUGUCACCGUUCCUCAACUGGAAUUUUGUGCCGUACCUCUCCCCGCAGUCGAAGGGCCAGGUCAGGCCGACAGUGGUGCUGGACAUGGAUGAGACACUACUGCACACGUCGGUGGUGCCGAUGCCAGACGCAGACGCUGAGAUUGACGCGCUGUGCCCGUCCGACGAAGCGCAAGACACAGGGACGUCAGUGACCUCGGCACACUAUAAGCUUUUCGUGAAAUACCGCCCGCACCUAGAACACUUUCUGCUGUUCUGUCUGGACCACUUUGAGGUUGUCAUCUUUACCGCCAGCAAGGCCCUCUACGCCCAGGCGGUGCUAAGGCAGUUGCAGAAAGACUUCCCCAGCAUCAACAUUCGCCUCGAUGGCAGCAGUUUCAGCGGCAACGCUCCAGCGUCGCAGCGUGUGGGCGACGAGGCGCGCGUCAUUGAACUGCUGCACCGCGACCACUGCACACCGACAAACGUCGGCUACGUGAAGGACCUGCACCUCCUCGGUCGUGACCUGCGCCACACCAUCCUCGUGGACAACAACAAUGUCUGCGGCGUUUUUCAGCCGUACAACUCUGUUCACGUGAGGGACUUUGCGCGCCGGCGCUGCGCCGCGCGGGUGCCAGAGCAGCAGCGGAUGAGGGCGACACAGCUGUGUCAGCUAAAAGGGAGGGCUCCUGCAUCGGCGAUGACAGCUGUGGAGAACGCAGACACUUCUCAUCUGCUCGGCAAUAUGGAGUGCACCACUUCCACAUACGACUGGGUGGAUCGAGAGGACACCGUGCUCCUCCGCCUAUGCGCUGCAGGCGGCCUUCUGCAUCGCUUGUCGCAGUGCGAGAACGUGCCGUCUUUUAUGCAGCGCACUGUGUGCUUCAACCGUCGAGCACACUGAUCACGGCUUGUACACGGCUCAGCCAGCAGUGGUAUCAGACCAUUCCCUGGAGAGAGGUAACGGAAAAGAGUGACCUACGAGGCGCGAGCAUUAAUAAAAAAAUUAAGAAGCCUAACGGAAAAGGAGUACAGGGGGACAUCAAGCCGAAGGGAGUAUCGAGGAAAUCCGUCUUGGGGAGUGCGAUGGCAUCGUUGUGUUUUACCUGAGCGUGCUUCAUCACGGAGGUUGAAAAAAGCGAAGCUGGAACAUCAUUCGGCAAUCUACUCCGCACAAUGCAUGCAAAACAAGAGCAGCAACCCAUACUCACACAGCUGUUUUAUUAUUGUUAUUUUCGCCUCUUUCCUGUGAUGACAGCGCGCCGUCUUACGUUGACGAAAACGCGGACGACGAAAAGCAAGAAGGACUGGGCUGCCGCCACCCCGCACAUGCGCACGCGGCUCAUGGGGAAGCUAUGGGAAAGAGACAGCUGUAGGAAUAGGACCUUGUCUGGAACACGAUGAACUGAACGUGUGUAUGGCCACGUCGGAAUCCUCGAGGCUCUGAAGCGAAGAGCCGUCGCCUUCCCAUGGAUAUUGUUUUUUUUUUUUUUCCUUUUUUUUACUGAGACGAGGAAGGGACUCCCUGAACUUCAACGCCUUUCUUUCCUUAUUUACCGGGCUUGUUUUUUUUUCAAAGGGGGUGGGGGUGGGGCGAUUGUUUUUACCACUGUCUCGGAUUCCUGUCAAGGCCUUCGUCAGUGGUCUCUUUUUCGAACGCCCCGACGUGUAAGCGCUGCGCGUAUUCAUCCCAGAAGGCUUUUCCUCUCCUCUUUGUUUCUGUGUUUUCCUUUCUCGCGUGGAGCACCCAAUGCGAGCGUCUCCAGUCUGUUGCUCCUUCAGCGCGUCUUUUUUUUUUUUGCCACGGCGCAGUCGAGCUCUCUCUUUUAGCGACCUGUGCGAGCCAAAUGGUCGUGCGAAUGAGGAGAGUGGCCGUCAUCAUCGUAGUGCUCAGGAGGUAUUGAGAGCUUCGUGGUGACGAAGGGGAAAAAAGGAACAGCACCAGAGGGCGGGGUUUCGAAGAUCAUCCGUGAUGGUUGAUUUUGCGAGCCUGAAGUAGCGGCAUAAGGAGCCGACAAGUAACAGCGCUUCUCAACGCACUCUGAUGAGCCUAUGUCUCCCCCUUUUCACACUCUCUGCGUGAUUCUUAACGCUUGCGUUUCUCUUUCUUCUCCCCUCCCCUCCCCUCGGUCGCCGAGUGUGUUUUGCGCAUUCAGAUGUUUGUUGUUGUCGCCGCGGGCCUCGUGUGUGUAUGUAUGUGUGCUCCGACUUGAUUCAUGAUAGCACGUCUGCAUGUCUCUCUCUCUGAAGUGCUGCACCCUUCUAUUUCUAUUUAUGGUUGUAGAUACUUUGUGUGUGUGUGUGUGCAUGCGUGUGUGUGUGUGUGUGUGUGUGUUGGUGUGACGUGAAAGCUGCUCAUGCUUUCUUCUGAGGUUGCCGCCAUGAUUAUCCGCCCCUUUUGGUUCACCUCUCUGUUUGAGCUUUUCUGGUCUGUGAAUCGUCACUCCCCACAGUUUUUUUGCUCUUUCGCGUGUGUUCUCGCUGUUCUUUCCCUUCUGGCUUCUUUUUUUUUUGAAUCGCUUCGUUGGUUUGACAGCCUCUCUUCGUGAAUAUUUUCUGUCCCUCUUGCCUGUAUGGCUUCUUGUGUGCGUGUGUGUGUGUGCCUUUCCCUCCUCUAUACUCUCCUGUCGAAGUGUAUUUCCUAUUGUGGAACUUUUGCGCGGUUUUUGGGGGAGGGGGCUCUCCCCUCUUUUUUUUUCACGUUCGUGAUAGUCCUUCCCCUUUUGCUCUAUCGUUCUGCGGUGCUGGUCAUGGGCUGCCUAGGCGACGCUGAUGUUCUCCGAAACGCACGCACUGCGGCAAUGUGUCCCCCUGCCUUCUACUCCCGACACGAAAAAAAAUCACAAGAGAACUGGGCGGAGAGGAAGAGAAGAGUGCCUCUCUUCUCUCUCGUUUUUUUUCAAUUGUACGAGUGGCGCUCUUGUUUGUUGCACACGUGACAUACCUUCACGCUCUUUCCUUUUUUUCUCCCCCCCCCCUCCCCCUUUCGUUGCUUCACUGUUUUUCUCCUGGCCCAUUCCAAACUUCACAAUGGUUCGCUUUAGCGUGUGGACGUGUUUUUGUGUUCUCUCACUGCCCUUCCACUCCCUUUCUGUUUCUCUCCCCUCCCUCCCCAUUUUCUAAAUCUUCUCCCUCCUGUGUGCUUUCAAGCACGUGAGAGUGCGACUUUCUUUUUUAUUCCCACUACAGAUGUUACGUAUGUGUCAUCGCAUCUUUUUCGUUAUUAUCAUCACUCCAUGUCUCUUCGUGCGCAUCUGCCCGUGCAUAUGACUUUGUUACUUGUUUCCUGUUUCCCUGCCCCCCCCAUCUUGCUCCUUCAUCACUAAAUACUGCCGGAGUGGCUGAAAAGGGCUCCAGGACGGCGCAUACUUGUUGCGGUCAGCGGUGUGCUGCAUUUUGCGGUUUCGAUUCUCUUAGAAGUACAAGCUCGCCUACACACACGAACGCCAGCGACCACAUCGUGGUACACGUUUGCACACCAGCGAGCCUCCGUCUCUUUUUCCAUUUUUUUACGCGUUUUGUGUCCGUGAACACUUCACUGCGCUUAAUGCUGCUUUCAUAUUUUUAACCUUUCUCUUGUCGCCAGCAUUGUGAAAACAGGGCGUAUCCGCGCUUGUAUCGCCCACAGUUCACAUGCACGCGAAAACGUGCGGCACGCUCCACAAAGUCCGCUGAUCCCGCCUCGUACGUUUUGAUCCCCGGUAUCUCUAUUAUGACAGUGUGUGCGUGUGUUCGUGUUUUGUCCUCUGCGUUGUUUUCCACAUCCUGCUUAUCAUGCAUUUUGCUGCUGCCUUGAUGGGCAAGCUGAGGGGACAACAUCGGCAAAAAGCAAACUGUAUGCAGCUCCUUGAUGUGCUCAUCUUCGAUUCUGUUUGGUCUCCCCUUCUCACGUGGAACGCUGGCAGCAGCAGUAGUUCAUGUUUAUAUAUAUAUAUGUGUGUAUUUCUAUCAGAAACUUCCUCGCGAUCUUCGCUCUUUUCGUCUUGUCAAG